ACUUGCCCAGGCAGAUGCAGCAUCUUCGACACUUCAACUGUUUGAACGCUGCAGCGGAUCUUUUCAGGGACUGAUUAACACGAUACCCAAGCACUUUUGUUACCUGAGGGUCUUCAAGCUUCAUAUUCAGAGUCAUGAUGAAAGCGAGGUGCAGGCUGAGCUUGGCAGUUGCCCACUGAAAAUUUACAUGUGCCAUCAUCCUGAC